rnacentral:misc_RNA from 1 species
UGUUUGCAUCAGGAGUGAUAGGCCUAAGAGAUGGCUCAACUUUUGCCAUAUUAGCUUCUUCACCAUAAGUUUCAUCCAAACUUUCUGUGGAUUUUAGGGAUAAAUCUUGGCUUUUCCCAUUUCAUCCAUACAAAUCUCAGAACCCAUAAGACUUAUUAACGAAAACAACAAUUGCUGAUAGUGAUGACAAAGAUGAUAGAAACAAAAUAUAACUAUAGAGAAGCAAUCAAUCACAGCUAUUAGUAAACCUAUUCCAAACAGUAAACAUGCGCUAAAAUCAGUUGUUUUUUGGGAGGAAAAGAAAAUUAAUCCAAUUGAAAUAUGCAGAAUCCUACAGUUAGAUUUUGCAAGUCCAAAUCAAAUAGAAAACAUCAUGUUAGUACAAUUUGCACAAGAAAACUAGAAACGCCAAUUAAAAAUACAACACAAUUGAUUUAGCCACAUACACAAAGAGAGUAAGUCGAUAGAACCCUAAAAUCAAGAGUUAAAGUAUAAAACUUUAGCCACAUAACUAAGAGAGUAGCCAGACCUUACAAUGAAAUAAUAAAAGAACUCAACGAAAUU